CUUAAAUUCAGUGAAAGUAUCCUUCAUUUCACUUGUAAAGAGCCUUUUAUGGAACCACCCACGUUAUUUUGGGGCAACUUGAUUGAAAGAAACCCCAAAUGUCGGAUUUAGAAACUUUUGAAAAUGGGUCAAAUUGGACUCGAGGACAACAGGAGGGUAAAAGCUGCAUCUAUUUUUUCAGUCUUUCAAAAAU